CUUUGAGAUUCAUAGCUAAAGCGUCACAUUUAUGUGGUCACAUUAGAACGAUUAUGUGUUAUAUAAAGCAGUAUGGGCCGUAAUUCCAAUUUGGCUGCAAAAUUUCAGCUAUAAUAUUGAAGCGACGAGCACGAAAACAUUUUACGGCGAUUACCUCUAGCGGGGAUCGCCGUCACUUACGGCGUUGCGGCCGCUGCUGCAGCCAGCCACUGCACUCCGCCUGCGCAUCACCGGGAUCACCUCAACCACCUUGAAACGUUCUUCGUCGCCCCGUGCUCUGUGGGCUGUGUAUUUCUUGUCGACUGCGUAAACGCAAGGACUGAAGAUGAACGGUGCUCUACGAAAGGCCACCAGCGUUUUUCGAAGCGCUGUAAUGCAGACCCGUUCGACGUCGGUGAAUGCGUACGCGGUCUCGCUGCCGAAAGGCAUAAAGAUGUCGACCCCCGAAAAGGUGGUUCACAUCUCUGUUAUCGUAACCGCCAUUUUCGCUUACCCAGCGUGGGUACUCACUCACCUCAGGGAGUACAGAGGAAUCAAGGAUUAACUUACCGAGACCUGCACCAUGCCUGGCAUCCACUGGAAACCUGGGCAAGAGUCACCGCACGAAGCAUUAGCUAACAGAAUACAAUAAAAUGUAUUUGAGUACACAUGCA